rnacentral:rRNA from 1 species
UAAAAGACUCCCAAAACCAUUGUGAACGUACCCGUCAGCGUUGCCUCGGCGGGCGGCCCCUCCCUGGGGCCGCUGCCUCCCUCGGGGGGUGCCCGCCGGCGUACCAAAACUCUUUUGUAUUUUAGUGGCCUCUCUGAGAAAACAAGCAAAUAAGUUAAAACUUUCAACAACGGAUCUCUUGGUUCUGGCAUCGAUGAAGAACGCAGCGAAAUGCGAUAAGUAAUGUGAAUUGCAGAAUUCAGUGAAUCAUCGAAUCUUUGAACGCACAUUGCGCCCGCCAGUACUCUGGCGGGCAUGCCUGUUCGAGCGUCAUUUCAACCCUCAAGCCCUGCUUGGUGUUGGGGUCCUACGGCUGCCGUAGGCCCUGAAAGCUAGUGGCGGGCUCGCUAUAACUCCGAGCGUAGUAGUAAAAUAUCUCGCUAGGGAGGUGUCGCGGGUUCCGGCCGUGAAAGCCCAUCU